GCAGUCGCCGCGGGAAUACAGAGGGUGCGAGCGUUAAUCGGAUUUACUGGGCGUAAAGCGUGCGUAGGCGGCUUUUUAAGUCGGAUGUGAAAUCCCUGAGCUUAACUUAGGAAUUGCAUUCGAUACUGGGAAGCUAGAGUAUGGGAGAGGAUGGUAGAAUUCCAGGUGUAGCGGUGAAAUGCGUAGAGAUCUGGAGGAAUACCGAUGGCGAAGGCAGCCAUCUGGCCUAAUACUGACGCUGAGGUACGAAAGCAUGGGGAGCAAACAGGAUUAGAUACCCCGGUAGUCCCUGUCUCUUAUAC
rnacentral:rRNA from 1 species